rnacentral:rRNA from 1 species
GAUGAACGCUGACAGAAUGCUUAACACAUGCAAGUCUUUGGCGAAGCUGUGCUUGCACAGCCUAGCCAAGGCGGACGGGUGAGUAACGCGUAAGGAACUUGCCCUGCAGUCAGGGAUAACAGACGGAAACGACUGAUAAGACCUGGUAAAGUCAGGCGGACUCAUGUCCAGCCUGAUGAAAAGAGAUGCUGCAGGAGAGCCUUGCGUCCUAUUAGCUUGUUGGUGGGGUAACGGCCCACCAAGGCGAUGAUAGGUAGCCGGCCUGAGAGGGUGGACGGCCACAAGGGGACUGAGAUACGGCCCUUACUCCUACGGGAGGCAGCAGUGGGGAAUAUUGGACAAUGGGGGCAACCCUGACCCAGCAAUUCUGUGUGCACGAUGAAGGUUUUCGGAUUGUAAAGUGCUUUCAGCAGGGAAGAAAAAAUGACGGUACCUGCAGAAGAAGCGACGGCUAAAUACGUG